rnacentral:lncRNA from 1 species
AACAGAUAAGCACAAACUAAACUGGCAAUUUGGUUAAUUUGAUUUAAAGAAUCACUACAUUUUAAUAUCGAAACAUCAAUCGUAUAACUUUGACAUGUCUGAAUCAGAAUAUAUGGUAUAUAUUUGAAUGAUAGGUCACGUGAUAUGCAAACUUGUGAAAAAUGGACGACAAUGGUAUGUGUAUGAAACGGAUAGUACAAAACAGAACUUUGAAAUUUUGCUCAUUAUUACUAGAGGUGAUAUAUAUAUAUAAAUAUAUAUUUGUUUAUACAACUCAUUGAAACACUUUUUUUAUUUGAUUAAUAAUGCAAAAUGUUUAGUUUUAAAAAGGAUACGUCAUUUUUAAAUGGACAGUUUUGUUGUAACGAUGGUUGCAUUUUCAUUUGUAAUGCUCAUCUUCGGUUUUUUUUUUAAAUUAAACAUCUAGGUUGAAUACCUUUCAAGUGUUCAAAUAAUAAAACGAAAAUGUCAAUCAGUUGCUUUUUCAUUAGGAUUAAUACAGUGACAAUAAAAAAAAAUGAUUUGUUUGGUAUUAUUAUCAUUUAAAACAGGGAUCUGACUCUAUUAUUUUAUAGCUGACAUGUUCAUGCAUGUUUAUUCAUGUAUAUCUUCGUAUAGAUAAAGCUGUGGUUCAGUAUAAUUUGAGCAAUAUGGAGAUCUGGUACAGUAAAAUUGGUACUGUCAAUGGCAUUGCAAACAAAGCAAAAUUUAAAGUAAUUGCAGCCCCAUUGUAACAAAAAGGAUAAAAUGAAAUCGAUAUUUAGGCAGAAUUAUUGAACUUUGUUGUUUUCAUUGUCCGUCUUAUUCUAAAUAGUGCAAUGUACUAUGUUCCUCGUUCAUCUUUAUAUUUUUUUGUGUGAGAAAUUAAAGAUCAUAAGUUGUUUCUGUUUAUACGGAUGAUGUCUAUGUUUUAAUUAUUUUUAUAUGAACUUAUAUGCCAUUAAUUAGCGACUCCAUAGCAUAAAGAUGACAAUUCGACGAGUAUAUUCAAAUGAAAUUAAAAAAAUUAUUAUCAAAUGAAAAGAAAAAAAAAUUAAAAGUGGGAAUGGGUUAUGUGUCAAUGAGACAUCAUAUCAAACAAAAAGCAGAAAAAAGCUGUUAGUUUUUAACUUGAAAUUAAUCUAUGAUUUUCUGUUCUAUCUUUUUAACAAUUUUGAUGAUGUUUUAUGCAAGAAAAAAAAAUUAAUUUGCAGGGUGUUAGGGGAAACAAACCGAAUAGUAUCUUCUGUUUGCAAACACUGUUUAAUCGGUCAAUUUGAAAAAUAGGCUUUAAAUUUGCAAAACAACAUGUCCUGUUAUAUAGAACUACUAUAAAAUAUUUUAUAAAAAAGUUUGUAAGAAAAAGAUUUCUUAGAAUUCAUAUCACCUCCAAUGAUAUGGGUUUUAUUCUCUCUAACAUUUGUUUCCUUUUAAAAAUCUAACUGCCAUGAAAAAAGACACACUGUUUAAUAAAGUAUUUUCUCGGUAUUGAAACAACCAAUAGCAAUUUAAAGCUCAUAAUUUCCCAUUUUAGAGUCUAAAAUAUGAAACACAUAUAUUUUUUUUUCGUUCCGGUAAACCGUAUAUACUUCUUCAAAUGUAUCCCUACCUUGGCAUGGUUGAGUGAUGUUUUAAUUUUUCUUUGCCUGAAUACAAUUUUCUCUGCUGUUUUGAUUAGGUAAAAUUUUGCGAAAGAAACAUUCGUUGUGUUUUAGAAUUAAUAAUUCUAAGGACGAUAAACUGUAUUAUCUUAUGAGCAUGUUAAAAAAAAAUACGACCUUUACCAAACUAUAAAGCUAUCUGUUCUGGAAUGCAUAUACUGAUUCUAUUCUAUUCAAAAUUGCUGUAAUAAAGUUUCAAGUCCAUUUUAAAUUGAGAGACGUAUCGCACCCAUGCACAGCUCAGAUUUCCUGUUCGGGUUAGCCUUUUUGUGGUCCUUUAAGGUUAAUGAUUCUUCAACGUUGGUAUUAAUGUUUCGACUUUGGCAGGUCUUUGCCACAAUCAACACCAAAGAGUCAUGCAUUGUCGAAUUCACUACUGGUUCAAUAUAUAAUGGUAUCAAUAAUGUUAUUAUGGUGGUAUGGAAGUCUAAAUUAAAAUGAUUUUUUUUCAUAUUUUUUAUGUUCAUACUUUUCCAAAUUAAAACGUAGCUUUUUUGUUAAUUAUGUUAAAAAAUAUAAUAAAAUAGAUAAGUCACCGCCGUUUCUCAAGCCUCAUGGAUUAUACAGGAAAAACUAUCAUUAUGUGAUCAGAAGCUAAACUAAAUGAUAGAAUUGUAAAAUAAAUAAGAGAAGAUAGUUUUUAUAAAAUGUUUUGAUAAUAUCAAAAGAAAAGAUAGGGUCACCGUUUUUCUGGCUAAAAUACAAAUGCAAAAUUUCAUAUACACUCCUUCAAAAAUGCACUACUCCAGAGAUACCUCCACUUAAAAGGCCAUUUUUAAAAAAAACAUUGAAAAUCAAUAUAUAAUCUACACUUGUAUAAAUAUUAUUAUUUAUAAGUGAUCAUUUUCUAAAUUUGUUCUUUUAAAUGCAAAUUCAUAUUAGUUAUCUGCCUUCCUGUAUCUAAUUUUGCUAACUUAAUUGAAAAUCUGGACCUUAGAUUCUCUGUUUUUUUACAAUCCAAGAUGGUGAAAGACACCCAUACCAUCUUAAUGUUAUAACUUUUGUAACAUUUUUUUUUUUAUUAAAUGUACUAAAUAAUGUAUCAGGUCAGGUUUACGUAUGUAGUUGGCGUUUGUGUUUUGUUUCACUUCAGUGAUUCUGUGUUUUCUUUGUUUCCCUCGGUUGUAUUCUGUUAUCCGUUUUAUUAUAUUUUUUUUUUAUCUCAAUCGAUGUAUGAAUUUUAAACACCGGUAUACUACUGUUGCCUUUAUUUAUGAUUUUUUUUUUGUCAUAUGUCCGGACUUCUAGGAUUUUUCCCUUUGGUAUAGGGUAAAAUAUUUCAUUCCAUAUCACUCCUUUUUCUUUUUAUGGAAGACUUUAAUAGCUAAUAAAUAUGUCAUUUUAAAAAACUUUUAAAGUAGAUUCUAGAUUUUUUUUAACGAAGUGAGACUCAAACAAUGCCUUUGUUGAAUAUAAGGUAAAAUUAGGAGUCAGUCUUUUCACGUCAUUUAAAGAUAUUAAAUAUCGUACAAAGAAUCAAUAUCAAUAUUUUUAGCCUAUUUUGUUCCUUUAAUUUUCUAUAAUUUCACCCACAUGUAAUUUCAUCCUUAAACGAUUAAAAUGUUCCUUUGUGUCUAUAAUGUGAUCAGUUGUGAAUCAAAUUUAGUCCAGUAACAAAUAUCUAAAGGUUGUCGUUAGUGUCUUUCAUAAAAAUUACCAGUAUUUCUCCUACCAUACACAUUUAUAAAUAGUAAUAUAUAUGUUUCAGAGGUUCACUUUGACUGGCUAAAGAAUGACUUGAAUUUAAAGCGAUGUAGAAUAUCGUCCUAUGCAGAAUGGUAUGUUAUUAAAGCCAUGCACCGUACACAUAUAUAUAUAUAUAUAACGAACAACGGAAAACGAAAUAACACGUGUGUUUAAUCAUGGAAUGCAAAUAGCCAAUUUUAUAAUAAUUUUUGUCUGACAGCUAGAUAUUUGGUGAUUUUAAAACUGAAUUUAAAAUAUGUUUUCAUUCAAACGUUUUCAAUAUCAUCAAAAUCGAAUUAAUACACUAUAAAAAGAAAAAUGAUAUGUUUCUUUGCUUUUCAUGCAUAGAUAUAAUAUAAAAUUUACGGUUUUGAUUUAUCUUUCUUUCCAAAACACAAUAAAGCAAAAUGCAAAGACGUGAGUUUUAAAGUGAUAAAAAAAAAUUCAAAAGGAGGCUGCACAAAGGGUUGCAUUUACAUUAGUAAUAACUAUAUAUUACUAUAUUAAAAUAACAUUCUUAAAUUGCAUCCCAUAGGAUAACAAUAACGAAAAUGAAUUGUUGGUUGAAUAUUAGAAAUAAGAAGAAUCUUCCUAUUAUCAAGUCCUUGAAUUGUUCGAUAUUGUUACUUUUAAACAAAAGAAAAUUGGUAUCCUAUUGUUAAUUAAUAUACUACAUAAAUUGAAAUUGAAACAAUUAUCCACAAUUUACAUCUAUGUAAAAAUAUACAUAUAAUAAAUAGAAAACACCUACCCGGGUCAUAUAACCUCAUGAUUAUUCCAGCAAAAACAUAGAUUCGUUUGUUAUAAAAAAAAAGAAGAAACUUUUUUUCUUAAUUCAUCAAAAUGCAUCCUGCAUAUGACUAAAAUAAAAGAUUACAAUUGUAUUUUUAACCUUAUUCGCGGAAAGUCCGGUAUUGUUUACGCAGAAUUGUUUUCUUAAGGAUCGACACGCUUUUCUGAAAAUUCUAACGGUUUGUCACGUGGUGCAAUAUUCAAAGAUAGCACUAAUUCACAAUAACCAGGAUGUAAAAUAAUCUCACAGAAUGAAACAUGUGAAAGCGGAUAUCUAUUUUUUGGAAAUCAUGUUAAACGCUCAGUAUAAUAAUGGAAGUAAUACACGCAUAGAGACGUUUUCCUUUUAUGAAAUCAAUAACAUGCAGGUUCAAAUUACAUUUCCGAUAAAUAUCAUUAAUCUACGUAUAUAUAAUUACCUUAGAACAGAAAACUUAGUAGUCGGAUAGAAAGGAUACAAAAAGUACAUUUUAUACAAGGAAAAUGUAGAGCAAUAAAAAAAACAGCGUUAAUAUUGUUGUUCUAUAUUUUAAGAAUAGUCAUAUACAAUAGAUAAAUGUUAAAAUUAAUUCCUUGGUACACUUGAGUUUUUUUUUAAAUCAUGCAUAAUCAAACGGACACUUUGAUCAUAAAAUGUACGUCGUCAAUUAAAUAAACCAAAACAUAAAACCUUCUUACAAUUAAAAAUCUCAAAGAAAGUUAUAUAAUACAAAUUAGAAUUUGCAGUUGUAAGUAAUAUUUUACUCACACAAAGAUAAUCACAGCUUCGUUUUGCGAGUUGCGUCAAAACAGUAGAACUUUGCGAUCUCGGCUGUAAAACAAUUUUGACCAUUAGUUUGAUGUAGUGGAAAGAUCUCUCGAAGGAAAUCAGCUAUGGUACAUAUUAUGAAGGCUGGAUACAUAAAAAAUGAAUAAUUUUCUACAUUAUAUACAAUUGUUAUUAAUUAUUACAGAAAAUUGCGCCUGCAGUACAAAAUCGAUUAUGCCUAAAUUAGUUCACAUAAUAAUAAUGAUGAGCUUAUUGGUUUUUAAAAUAUUUACAAUUGUUAUAUAAUUUUGUUUAUAAAAUAACAUUUACUAUCUAUUAGUAGGUUUGUGUCUAGGAAUGAAGCAGGUGAUUUUAUUUCAGUAGUGUCCUUAUGCCCGACCUUAUUAAAAUAUAUGAUGUAUAGAUAAUGGGUAAAGCAAUUUUUAUUUUAUUAUGAAUAUAAGGGAAGACUAACAAAUAUCUAAAUAUAACAAACGACGAACAACAAUCUUAAAUAUACUACAUAAAAAGCUUACAAUAGGCGGCACGAACCCUACGAAAAACCAG